rnacentral:rRNA from 1 species
AAUGAAUAAACUAUUAAAAAGUUUAGGUUUAGAACCUAAAAAAUUUUAUCCAGAUGCACAAGCACUUAAAAGUGAAAUUUUAAAUGAUAAUAGAAAUCUAUCAGGGAUAUAUAAAUGAACAAAUAUUGAAACUGGAGAUUCUUAUGUUGGAAGUGGAAUAGAUUUAGCCAAAAGAAUACGUAGUUAUUAUCAAACUUCAGAGUUAAAUAGACAUCCUAGACAUAUCAAUAGAGCAUUACUUAAACAUGGACAUGAUAAGUUUAAGCUAGAAAUAUUAGAAUAUUGUGAUAAAGACAAAUUAAUGGAAAGAGAACAAUUCUAUCUAGAUGAAAUAAAUCCUAGUUAUAAUAUAUUAAAAAAAGCUUAUUCUAUGGAAGGAUUUAAACAUAGUGCAGAAACUAUUGAACAAUUAAAGGAUAGAGAAUUUACUCAAGAACAUAAAGAUAAUUUAGCUAAAGCCCGUGAAGGUAGAGAAUUUUCAGAAGAAACAUUAAAGAAACUAUCUGAAAGUCUAUCUAAACAUCACAAGGAACAUCCUUUAACACCUGAAGCUUUUGAAAAUAUCAAAAGAAAAACUACAGAACGUGAAGGAGUUCCAGUUGCCUUAAUAAAUAAGGAUACAGGUGAAGAAACUCAGUUUGAAACUCAAACUGAUGCGGCUAAUUUCUUAGGUAUAACUAGACAAGCUAUCAAGAAAGCAUUAGAUAGAGAUAGUAUACUAUCUAAAUUGUAUAAAGUUAAACGUUCAGAUCAAAAUAAUAAUAACACAUUAUCUUCUAUAGAUAAUAAUUCAUCAUCUGGUGAUAGUAAUUCAUCAUCUGGUGAUGACGGAGAAGACUAAAUUAAUUUAAUUUUAUGUAAAAUAUGUUUUACAUAAGAUAAAUAUCUAUAAAAUCAUUAUAAGAUAUUUAUGUCUAAAUGGAUAAAGUGAAUUAUUCAGGGAUAGUAUUUAAAAAUACUCCGUGUAUGUCAAAAGGGAAACAGCCCAGAACAAGAGUUAAGGUUCCUAAAUUAUUUGUUGAGUGAAAUUAAGAAAGUUUUUAUUAAAGUCGACAAGGAGAUAGGCUUAGAAGCAGCCAUAAUUUUAUGACCUCGUAACAGAGCGCUUGUUAAGUUAUAAAAGCAUCGAAAAUAUAACGGAUCUAAACAAUAUACCGAAACCUUGUCCAUAAAUUAAUGUAGUUUACUUUUCAAAAACGACAAAUUUAUGGGGUAGCAGAACGUUGAAUUAAACUAAAUAACAAGUUUAUAAAUUUGUUAUGUUAAUUCAAGUGAGAAUGGUGACAUGAGUAACGAAAAGAAUAGUAGAUGAUAUUAUAAAACUACAUUAAAUAUUUGAUCUUAUUUAAUGUUUAAAGAUCUACUAUCCGCCUAAAGCUUAUGGUUAGAAUUAAGUAACGGCCUCUAAGCUUUUUUAUCUAAAGAUUGAAGCGAUGAGAAAAUCUUUUAUUAUAAGACGACAUUUAUCUAGUGAAAAAUGUACAGGAAAUAUUAUAAUAUAGUAACCGUACCUAGAAACCGACUAUGGUAAGCUAGUAGAGUAUACGAAGGCGUAAUUGAGAUAACAAUCAUAAAGGAACUCGGCAAAUUGACUAUCGUAACUUCGGGAUAAGUAGGGCUCAUUAUUCUUGAUUAAUAUCAGGUAAAGAGGAAGAAACAUAAAAUAAUGUUGUACGACUGUUUAAUUAAAACACAGCACUUUGCUUAAAGAUUAAAAAUCUAUGUAUAAAGUGUGAUAUCUGCCCGGUGCCGGCUGGCUAACAGAGAUAAUUGAAUACAUUACUAUUUGAUGUCAACGGAAGCCCCGGUUAAAGGCGGCCUUAACGUGAGGGUCAAACAAGGGUCCUGUUUAAAUUCGGCUAAUUGCUGGAACGGGUCAAAUAAUUGGUAAUAGUGCCUUAAUACCUACAAGUCACAGAUGAUUACAUACAGACCCUAAUCAGCAGGAAAGAUUAAAUAAAUUAGUUCAGGAUGAGAACUACAAAUUUUGAUUAGGUGGAUUCAUUUUGUUUUUUUAUUCUUAAGAAUAAAAAAACUUAGGGGAAGGAUCAUUAGUUGUAUCUUUAGUUAAAAAUAAUAAAGUUACACAUGGUCUAGUUUUACAACCUGAAUUUAAUGUUGUUCAACAUGAAAGUGGUUUAGAUAUACUUAAUUCUUUUAAAGUUCUUUUUGAGGAUAAAUGUGCAUAAAAAGUCAGGAUCUGAAGAUGUAUGAGUUUAUUCCUUAAAAGGAACUCAUAAUCUGAAAACUCUAGUAUUACCGUAUUUUGAAAAAUAUGUAAUAACAUAUUCUAGUAAAUAUAAAGGAGAAGUAUUUGAAAAGUUCUCACUUAUUAUAAAUAAAUUAUCUGAUAAUAAAAAUAAAACUUUUAGUAAAGAAGAACUUAUUUAUUUAAUAGAAUUAGUUUACUCAUAUAAUCCAGAAACAAAAGGUAAAUCAAGAAAAAGAACAUUAGAGGAAACUUUAAAUAUAAUUAACCAUAAUAACCCUUAAUUAAAGUUUGGAGUAUAUUAUAUAUUAUGAAGUAAGUAAGGUACUUACAAACAGGAAACCCUAACUUUAUAAGUUAAAUAAAAUAUAGAUAUAUAAUAUGCUUAAGUAUUUAAAAUCUUCAGAGGCCAUACGCCGAACGAUUUACCUGUAUUUAAUACAAGCUUCUAUAUAAAUAUGGAAAUUAUUCUACAUCCUUCUUAUAUAAGAUCUAGCUAAUUUUGUUAGAAUAGGAUAAUACUUACUCAUAGUAGUUGUAAAUUGAUGAUAUGGUCCGAUCGAUUAU